AACGAACGCUGGCGGCGUGGAUGAGGCAUGCAAGUCGAACGGGAUCUAGCAUGUAGCAAUACAGGGCUGGUGAGAGUGGCGUAAGGGUGAGUAAUGCGUGGGUAAUCUGCCUUUAAGAUCGGCAUAGCCCGGCGAAAGCUGGGAUAAUUCCGAAUGUGAUCGGCCGGUGCAUACCGGCCUAUUCAAAGUUGGGGACCGCAAGGCCUGACGCUUGAAGAUGAGCCCACGUCCUAUCAGCUAGUUGGUGAGGUAACGGCUCACC
rnacentral:rRNA from 1 species